GUGAAUCAUCGAAUCUUUGAACGCACCUUGCGCUCCUUGGUAUUCCGAGGAGCAUGCCUGUUUGAGUGUCAUUAAAUUCUCAACCUUUUCAGCUUUUGCUGAGUUGGAUUGGCGUGGAUAUGGGGGUUGCGGGCUUUCUCAGAAGUCGGCUCUUCUUAAAUGCAUUAGCGGUAACCUUUGUGGAUCAGCUUUGGUGUGAUAAUUAUCUACGCCAUGGUUGUGAAGCAGCUUUACAUGGGGUUCAGCUUCUAACCGUCCAUUGGCUUGGACAACUUCUGACAUUUUGACCUCAAAUUCAGGUAGGAUCUACCCGCUGAACUUAAGCAUAUCAAUAAGCGGAGGU
rnacentral:rRNA from 1 species